rnacentral:rRNA from 1 species
AGUGAACGCUGGCGGUAGGCCUAACACAUGCAAGUCGAACGGCAGCACAGUAAGAGCUUGCUCUUACGGGUGGCGAGUGGCGGACGGGUGAGGAAUACAUCGGAAUCUACUUUUUCGUGGGGGAUAACGUAGGGAAACUUACGCUAAUACCGCAUACGACCUACGGGUGAAAGCAGGGGAUCUUCGGACCUUGCGCGAUUGAAUGAGCCGGUGUCGGAUUAGCUAGUUGGCGGGGUAAAGGCCCACCAAGGCGACGAUCCGUAGCUGGUCUGAGAGGAUGAUCAGCCACACUGGAACGGAGACACGGUCAAGACUCCUACGGGAGGCAGCAGUGGGGAAUAUUAGGCAAUGGGGGCAAGCAUGAUACAGCCAUACCGAGUGGGUGAAGAAGGCCUUCGGGUUGUAAAGCCCUUUUGUUGGGAAAGAAAAGCAGCAGGUUAAUACCACGCUGUUCUGACGGUACCCAAAGAAGAAGCACCGGCUAACUUCGUG